rnacentral:rRNA from 1 species
UGCCAUACCAUGCUGAAUAUAUCGGUUCUCGUUAGAUCACCGAAGUCAAGCAUCAUUGGGUGCGGUCAGUACUUGAGUGGAUGACCACCUGGGAACACCGCGUGCCGUU